UUGAAACUGAGUUGGUUCUAACAUCUUUCCUCUGAAUCUGAUUCGACCCUGAUUGUAUGGAUCUCAAACCUGCACUGAUCACAAUGGAGUGGGAUGCCCAAUUAACUCUUCUGGUCUCAAUCCAGUGAUCCACACCUUGGACUGAGCUAGUCAGAAUCUGUCCUAACUUUUAAUAGGCCUUAAACAUGGUCUGGUGUUCUGCCUAGCCUAAAGUAUUGCGUGUAUAGUUAUGUAUUUAAUUAUGCAGAUGUGCUUACAGCUGAAAUUAGACUUCUUUAGAAGAAAAUAGGAGGGACAAAUCUCUUAGAUAGGUUAUGUUGGCAAUGGUGGUGGUGUAGUGCCAGCGAAAGCUUUGAUGCCAACAAUGUUAGUUCAAGAACACAAAGAUAAAACAAUCACACAUACGGUACACGAGGUUUUAACGUGGUUCGGCCAACCAUGCCUACGUCCACGGAUGAGAGAGAAUAAUUCCACUAUACAAUAGAGAAUAUUACAGAGGAUAAAACCAGAUACAACUAUUGGGUUCCCGAAACAUCCCAUGUUUCCCCACUCCUUGUAUCCAUACCUUACUACGAGCCCUCUCGCUCCACCAGGUACCUCCUGUUCUUCCUCACAUCUCUAUCCACCUCGUAUAGUCUCUAUAGGCCCAUCUCCAUCUCAUAACUUUUUCCCCUCAUGACCUAGAAUAUUUAUAGAGAUAUUUCCAACAACCUUCCUUAUUCUAUAAGGAAGUCUAAUAUUACAAUAAUAUAUCAACCUAGAAAUAUUCUAUACAAUAUUCUUUACAAAAAGGAAUAUUUACUAAUUAGGAAUUUGGGACAAUUCCCAACAGGUGGCUACCUAGGGAUGAUAUUUAGAGUUGGAGUCAAAGAAAAUCUUCUAGUCCACUGGGCCUCGGGGUGCAGCUAUGUUCAUGAGCCUUAUAAUUGAGCUUUAUUUUUGUCAUGUUGAACCAAGGUUGGUGGGUUGGUGUGUUUCAACAAGGUUGUUAUCGAUUGCGAAUCUCAAGUUUUGAGGAAAGCAUUUGAUUUGGUGAUUCCCAUUUUCAUAAUUGAUCUCCUUCUAGCAAAACAAAGCUAGUUAUAUUUUUGUCUUUUCAUGCUUUAGUUAGGUGACAACAUGAGUUAUGCUCUAGUCUGUGUUAAAAUAUAUGAUCUUUGCCUGUCAAAAAAGA
rnacentral:lncRNA from 1 species